UGAGCAAUCUGCCCUUCUCAUCGGAAUAAGCGUUGGAAACGACGUCUAAUGCCGAAUACGACCUCCUUUCGCAUGAUCGGAGGUGGAAAGCUCCGGCGGAGAAGGAUGAGCUCGCGGCCUAUCAGCUAGUUGGUGUGGGUAAUGGCCCACCAAGGCGACGAUCCGUAGCUGGUCCGAGAGGAUGAUCAGCCACACUGGGACUGAGACACGGCCCAGACUCCG
rnacentral:rRNA from 1 species